rnacentral:rRNA from 1 species
GCUUAACGCGAAGAACCUUACCCACACUUGACAUCCCUCUUGGGACUUUCAGAGAUGAGAGUUUUCGGUUCGGCCGGGGAGGAGACAGGUGCUGCAUGGCUGUCGUCAGCUCGUGUCGUGAGAUGUUGGGUUAAGUCCCGCAACGAGCGCAACCCUUAUCGUAUGUUGCCAGCAUUUAGUUGGGCACUCGUGCGAGACUGCCGGUGAUAAGCCGGAGGAAGGCGGGGACGACGUCAAGUCAUCAUGGCCCUUACGUGUGGGGCUAGAAACGUGCUACAAUGGUCGGUACAGAGGGUUGCCAAGCCGCGAGGUGGAGCUAAUCUCACAAAACCGAUCGUAGUCCGGAUCGCAGUCUGCAACUCGACUGCGUGAAGUCGGAAUCGCUAGUAAUCGCGAAUCAGAAUGUCGCGGUGAAUACGUUCCCGGGUCUUGUACACACCG